UGGCCACAUCGACGUAACAGAAAAAUACAUUUUAGGCCCCAAACCUCUCAUGAGCGUCUCUCCCUCACUGCAGACCCGGCAGGUCCAGGCUUCGUCCCGCAGUACCAUGUCUUGUGAAACCUCCGGGGACGCUGUGGCGCAGCCUGAGAACUCUGAGGGCGAAGUGGUGAGGAGAGACGGCGUGUUUCGCUCUGCUGUGCGCAGCCUCCUCUGGCCUUUCAGCAUCGUUGUAAGGGCCUUCCGCGGAUUUGUGUGGACGCCUCAGCAGAAAAGCCUUUCCUGUCCCGUGACUUCCAGCCCGGCACGUCACAGCCUCACUGGCCAUAAGCGCCUCUCCCGGUUCACCCGGCUGCUGCUGCGCAUCCUGCCCUGCUGGGCGCAGGCCGCCCUGGGCUACCCGGUGUCCUACAGCAUUGGGCUUUUAUUGUCCCCAGAAGUCAGUGUUUCUCCUACUAAACCAUGUGGAAAAGGCAGCAAGAGAAAAAUUGAUGCGCUUGACGAUGAGGAUGAGGAUGACGACCCAUUCUGGAUGGUUGAGCUUUCUAGGACUCUUCCAGAAGAUGACUCAAAUGAUCCUGACUAUGAGGGAUCUGUCUUUGUCCCCUCAGACCACCGCAGAAGAGACGGACAGUGAGGAAUUUGCCUCAAACAACGAUACAGAAAGUGAUCUUGAGAUUUCAGGAAGGGAUGUCGUUAUUGAGGACGUGAACACUGAUGUUGCUGUGCCCAAGCCUUCUGAGGGGUCUACAGCUGUUUAAUCUUUUCAUAUGCUGUGAUUUUUGUAUGUAUAUAUAUAUUUGGUAAUUCAAUAAAGCUUUAUUUUGCUCUAA